UACGUAGGGGCGAGCGUUGUCCGGAUUUAUUGGGCGUAAAGAGCGUGUAGGCGGUUCGGUAAGUCUGUCGUGAAAUCCCUCGGCUUAACCGGGAACUGCGUCUGAUACUGGAUGGCUUGAGUUUGGGAGAGGGAUGCGGAAUUCCAGGUGUAGCGGUGAAAUGCGUAGAUAUCUGGAGGAACACCGGUGGCGAAGGCGGCAUCCUGGACCAACACUGACACUGAGGAGCGAAAGCCAGGGAGCAAACGGG
rnacentral:rRNA from 1 species